UUUUCUGAUGAAACCAACAAACAAAGCUGGAAUUACCUGCUGAAUCUCUGUGAUUGAAAACGUUUUGCAUUUAUCUCUGAUC
rnacentral:snoRNA from 1 species